rnacentral:rRNA from 15 species
UCCGUAGGUGAACCUGCGGAAGGAUCAUUAU